GAUGAAGAACGUAGCGAAAUGCGAUACUUGGUGUGAAUUGCAGAAUCCCGUGAACCAUCGAGUCUUUGAACGCAAGUUGCGCCCGAAGCCAUUAGGCCGAGGGCACGCCUGCCUGGGCGUCACACGUCGUUGCCCCCCCAUCUACUCCUUCGGGAUUGCGGGGGGCGGAUGAUGGCCUCCCGUGCGCCUCGUCGCGCGGUUGGCAUAAAUGCCAAGUCCUCGGCGACGCACGACGACAAUCGGUGGUUGCGAAACCUCGGUUGCCCGUCGUGUGCGGUCGUCGCGCAUCGAGGGCUCGAAAAAAUUGCCGGGCUCCGGCUCGGCUUUCAACGCGACCCCAGGUCAGGCGGGGUUACCCGCUGAAUUUAAGCAUAUCAAUAAGCGGAGGA
rnacentral:misc_RNA from 1 species